UCGGACCUUUGAGGGACAAGCCACACCAGCCACAGCAUAAGUACCACAUCCUGUAUAUCCUGUAUAUACAUUCACCCAGUGAUGGACACGUGAUUUACCUCCACCGUUUGGCUGUUGCGGCUGCUAUAUGCACAGGUAUACACCGCUUGUCUACACGGGCAGCUCCCUAGCCAAUGCCUGCCUUCAAGUCUUUGGGGCAUAGAAGUAGAUUUGAAAGAUAUAAAAUGAUUUGUUUUUAAUCCACCCCGACAGGAGCUGCCCCAUUUUCCUUUCCCACAACAGUGCAUAAAACUUCCAGUUUCUUCACCUCCUCAGCCACACCUUCCGUUUUCACAGUGGCUGCUCUAAUGAGUGCUAUUUCCCAUUUAUAAUCCCUUCUGCGUCACCCGACAGAAGCAGCAGAAAAGAGGAAAAGGCCUGCUUUACUUACCCAGUUCUAGGGGCUCAGCUGACAUGGUGGGGAAGGUGUGCGGUGGGUCAGGAAGCUGAGACAGCUCUGCUAGCUUCCCCCCCUUUCCCCUUUUAUCCACGGGGGUCUCUAGCCUAUGAGAGGGUAUCCCCCACAUUCAGGGCAGCUCUCUCAGACACAUCUAGAGGUGUGCCUUCCAGGUGAUUCUAGUUCCAGCCAUGCUGACACUGGAGAUGAACCGUCACAUCAACUACAAAUGAAGCUGGUGUCUUCUCGCCGCUUAUUUGGCCACUCCUGUGCUUCCUCUGAAGAAAGGUUUGUUUGAAUCCGCCCUUAUUUUUGUUGGUUUCUUAACUGUUGAGUGGCAGAUACUCUUUUUAUAUUCUCAGCACUAACCUCUUAUCGGAUACAUGAUUUAUAAAUAUUUCCUCCAUUCCAUCCUGGUGGACCAAUAAGCAGAGGAAGGAAAAUGCUGGUGUUGGGCUAGACUGUCCUCUGAGCCAAGUGACCACUGUCUUCAGGUGUUCCGCGGAAGGUCUGCUUGCAAAGAUCACCUCACUGGGCUUGUUGACUGUUGGUGUUCCCUCACAGAAAGGGAAGGGAGGCCAUCACCCACAGUGGGUGCAGGCUCUCCAUGGCUUUUACGGUCCUCACCCAUGCCCUAUAAGUAAAAGCCCAGUAAACUCAUCGUCUCUGUAGGGAAACUUUGGUGGACUCGAACUCUGGUUGAUAAUGGAAACCUUAGAAGGUGGGUGGUAGGUAUUACCUAACUCCCCCUGCCCUUGAGCAAAAAUUCUGGAGACGAGGAAUGUUACCGCUUUAAGAUGCCUUUCAAUAAGCUAUGUAAUAUUUGUUUGUUUUGUUUUAUUUUUUGAGAUAGAGUUUUUCUGUGUAGCCCUGGUUGUCCUGGAAUUCACUCUGUAGACCAAGCUGGCCUCAAACUCAUGGAGAUCCACCUGCCUCUGCCUCAUGAGUGCUGGGGUUAAAGGUGUGCAGCUCCACUUCCCAGCCUCUUUCCUUCUUUUGAAAUAACGUGCUGUUCAGUAGACUUUACUGGAGUCAACACAAGCUCUUCACUAAGGGAAGAGCCUCCUUAGAUGCGUUUCCAGCUUCUCUCUGUCAGGUCUGAAUGGCACACAUUGAUGCCACCUCGUUUUGGGCUAGUAUACACUGAACAGGGUCACUGAGCCAGGCUUUGUGGUCCUACAGCAGCCAAGCUAAGAACUAUAGAAACUUCAUGAGUUAGACACGAGGGUCAUUCUGAGCCUGCUCAGGUCAGAGCUACGGUGCCAGCUCCCACCACACUCCUCAGAACAGCUCACAUUCGGAAAUUCCCAAUUAAUAUUCUCAGACAGCAGAUGCACAGCCACAGCUGCACGAAGCAAUGCUGUUGGUGAGUGAUCUACUGCACUUCCCCGUCUUUUCCGUUAAAAGGAGCCUGCAACCCAGGAGCUGGCAAACUUGCUCUGAAGAAACCAGAAUACUCUGCCCAAUACUGGAAGUAGCCAGAUGUUGCCAAAGGUGCAAUUUACCAACGCCUUCUGCACCCCACAAAUAGAGAUGGCGCUUUAAUUUCUCCCUUCCUGACUUCUAUAUCUUUGCUUUUAUAGUCUCUUUACGUUUUUAAUUAUUUGUCUAUGUGUGUAUGUAUGUGUUGCAUCGUGUGUGCAGGUCAGGGACACCUUGUGGGAGCCAGUUCUCUCCUUCCAGGGUCGUGAGUCGUCAGACUUGGCAGCAAGCACCCUUGGCUUGCUGAGCCAUCUGGCCAGCUCUGCUUUUGUGUUCUUAUUUUGUGGCACAAUAUUACUAUGUUGCAGAAUGAAAUGGAGUCAGUAUCUUUUCAGGGGUCCUAGGGUAAAGGAGCUUCUCAUAAGGACUUUCCGCUGUCUGUGACAACUUGAAGUCGCGUGAGUCCUCUUUGAUUAUUUGUUUGGUUGUUCGCUUGCUUGUGUUUUUGAGACAAUCUCAUGUGGUCCAGGCUGGCCUUCAACUCACGAUGCAGCCAACACUGGGCCUUGAGCUCCUAAUCCCCCUACCUCUACCUCCCCAGCACUUGGAUCACAGGAAAGUGUUAGUUACCACACUGGUCCUCAUUUGAAAGAAGUAAUUUUUAUAAGCAAAUGUUAGCUUUCUUGUUUGUUUCUAAUGUAGAUGAUAGCAUUUUUCUUAAUUUUUAAACUUUUUUAAAAGAUUUGUUUAUUUAUUAUGUACAUGGUGUUCAGCCUGCAUGUAUGUCUGCAAACCAGAAGAGGGCACCAGAUCCCAUUAUAGAUGAUUGUGAGCUGCUGCAUGGUUGCUCCGAAUUGAACUGAGAACCUCUGGAAGAGCAGUCAGUGCUCUCGACCUUUGACACAUCUCUCCAGCCCUAUUUUUGUUGUGUGUGUGGAUAUGCACGCUCGCCAUGGCUCGCAUGGGGAGGGUCUUGCCAUGCAGCUGAGCUGGCCUCAAACUCCCAAUCUUCCUACCUCAGCCUUCCAAGUGCAGAGUACAGAUGCCCAACACCAACAGAUGCCAACAUUACAGAGGAACAGCCAUGAGUCCUGUGACAGUGGUGGAGUAACGGGGAAGAGUUGCCAGGGAUGCUCUGGGCCCUUUUGGAGAUCGGAGUCCGACAGGACCUUAGAGGAACAGUGGCUAACCAAAGGCCGAUGGUGGAGAAACUGCAGACCUGCCUUCCCUGUCAAGAGAACCUGGAUAGUUCCAGAAUGCCAGUGAAUGCCAGUCAGCAACUCUCCUCACUGACCACCCAGAGGCGCUGUUUUAGGGGAUGUGCACAGCUGUCUUCAUCACCUUAUUUCUCAAGGGAGGUUCAAUACAGAAGAGUCCAUGCCAGGGAGUGCCACAGUCUAACUCUGGCUCAAGAAUCUGUCUGGGCUAAUGCCGCACGUGAUGGGCAACUUGCUGCCUGCUCCAGAUUGGCAUAUAUGGUCCAAUAAAUAUGCCAAGUGCAAUGCGGGCAACAUGCAUGAAAGGAGCUGGCGUGCAGUCUCACAUGAGUGGACACAGCUGAGUGGCUUGGUAGCCUUGUACACACUUAGUGAACUCACAGCGACCUUCAGACGCACCUGGGGGCUGGAGUCAGGCAUGGAGUCCCCCAUCCUGGGAUGCUGGUCUUAUCCUUCCAAAUGGGGCAGAAACUGCUCACAGCCAUGCAAAGACAUAUAUAGGUGCUCGAUUCAAUUUUAUUUUUAGGAUUCAAGUUGGGGGAAAAUCACCUUCAGUGAAACUGGUCCUAAAGAAGAUGACUUGCCAUCCCUCAAAUGGACACCAGAGGGUGUGCUCCUCCAGUAGAUGGCUCAGCGGGCUUGGCUGCACACCCCCCCCCCACCCCUGACUGGUGGAAAUAGGUCACCUUCAACACCUCCAGAAGAGGGCUGGUGUCCUCCCUCCCCUCUGUGGUUAUUGGACAUUCUGGUGUUCUUAAAGGCCAGUGGCCAGACUGGGAUUUUUAAAAAAUAUAUUUA